rnacentral:lncRNA from 1 species
GAAGCCACUGGACCCACAGCCCACUGAGUAGCAGCUCCUCGAUCCAUAGCCCAGGGAGCGGCAGCUGCUGGAUCCAAAGCCUAGAGACCCAGAGUAAGUUGUCUGGCAGGGACUGCAGAGCAAGGAGGUUCUGGGACGGUAGCAGGAGGUCUGGCAGGGGCUGGACUCCACAUAGGAUGUCUGGCAGCUGGUGGGCUCCCAGCAGGUCUGCUGACAGCCCCUAUAGAGAGAGGAACCCAGCUGGCACGUGCUGGGAGAGCAGAGGUCAGUGCUGUAGACCUGGUUGCUGGGGUAGGAAAAGCCACAGGAGGAGGCUGGGUAGUGCAGGUAGCCACCACAGGAGCGGGAGGAGAAGUUUCCAGAGCAGCAGUUGUAGGACAUGUUGAUGCCUUCCCUGGGCUAUGGAUCUGGAUUCUGCCACCC